UAGGGAAUAUUAGAAAUGGACGAAAGUCUGAUCUAGCAACACCGCGUGUGCGAAGAAGGCCUUCGGGUCGUAAAGCACUUUUUGGAAGGAUUAGGAAGGAAUGUACUUCCAGAAUAAGUCUCGGCUAACUACGUGCCAGCAGCCGCGGUAAAACGUAGGAGGCGAGCGUUAUCCGGAUUUACUGGGCGUAAAGCGUGUGUAGGCGGUUUGAUAAGUUGGAUGUGAAAGCUCCUGGCUUAACUGGGAGAGGUCGUUCAAAACUAUCAGACUUGAGAGUGGUAGAGGGAGGUGGAAUUCCGCAUGUAGUGGUGAAAUGCGUAGAUAUGCGGAGGAACACCAGUGGCGAAAGCGGCCUCCUGGCCCAUUUCUGACGCUAAGAUACGAAAGCGUGGGGAGCAAACA
rnacentral:rRNA from 1 species